CCCCCCCCCGUGUGCCUGCUCUUCCAGUCUUCCUCAUCCGCGUCUGCGGCACACGUCCAUUAGGGUCAAGUCGAGGACAAAGGUCGACGUCGCCGAGGCCACGCGGGAGGCUCACCGUAGACUGCCCCACGUCGCUGUUCCUGUUCUCGGCCUCGCGGUCGGCGCCUAUCCAUGGAGACGGUCCCGCAUCACAUGAGCCCGCCGAAAUGGAAAGAAGAACCGCCGCAUAAGCUUAUGUAGAUGACCUCAUCUGACAACGACAAUUCCUCCCGCUCGGGCAUCAGGAAGCUAAGAAGGCCUGCAGCUAGGCAUCCAGCUUGCCGGCCGGGUCACGCUACACGUCGCCGGCGAGGCAUUCGUCAUUGGAGAUGGAAUCCACAGCGUGCAUCUCCCACAUCAUUGUCUUCCCCAAUGCACCGACUCCUAUAUCCUGUGCAGCCGGCGCUUCCCCUCUUCUCUUCCAUCCGGAUUCCAACGCGCCAUUGACGUACCAGCGCGAGCUGGCCGCUUGUGGCUCCAAUUGGUAGUUGGGAUGUAAUUGAUUCUUGAGGAAAAUGAUUCAUGGCUAGAAUUUGAGAGUUCGCUCCUAGCGCUUUGUUGUUAUGGCUGCUGAUUGGUUUGCACAGCUUGAUUCAACAAGGACCUUCGGUUGGUUUGUUACAGUGGCUGCUUCUUUGCCAACGGGUGAGACUAUUUUCAGUGGAGUAUGAAAUCUCUUAUUGCAUUUGCAUAUGAAAUAUAUUCUAAUGGAGCUGCAUAACAUGUGUUUGAUAUAAUGCCUAUGUGAGGUGCUCAGACACUGCUGUCAUUUUCAAACCAGCAUUUCAUCAGCGAAGGUAGGUGGAGGCUCUCCAGAAAACUGUCUAACCUUUAAUUUUGUUUUGCAAAUCUGUACUUGGAUUUACUAGGAAUUAUUUACUUGCCUAAACUGUCAUCUUUACCUGCGGAUGAUAUCAAGGAUGCAUCUUCCAAUGUUCAGUUUCACUGACAGGAAAAGGCCAUGUAAGUGAACCUCUAGUGCAUCCAUGGAUGGAUCAUUUUUUCCACAUCGUCAAUGAUAGAUGUAUAGUUAUUUACUAUUUUGGUUCCCCGGAUGAACCAAUGAUCUAAGUAUCAUCCAUCAUAGUUUGGAAACAGUUUGCACAUGCUAAUUUGUCUGUCAUUUUUAAAUAUUGUACUAUAAAUUGGGCGCUCAUGUUAAAGUGCUUUAUCUAUAAAAAGCUGGGGCCGAUAGGGUGAAAUACAUGAAGCUGUGCCCAAGAUGUGCAGUGUCUUCGCAAAUCCAACAAUCAAAUUCUUAACCCUGUGGAUGUAGGACCUUCAAUUUUCAUUGGUAAUUAUGUUUGGUUUUCACGUGCUCAGAGAGUAAACAAUUUAGUAUAUGGUCCUUCAACGUACCUUCCGUGACUACCAUACAUGUUGCAGUAUUACAGUACCACCCUUGUCUAGCAUUUCUGCUACAACAGGCCAGCAAGGACAAACUGUAAGCAAUCAUUGCUGCAGAAUCUAGGUUCUAAGUUUGAAGCAAACUGUUUAUUCAUGUGGUUUUAUGCUACAUCCUUUGAUUAGAAUUAACUUCACAGCAACAGGGAAAAGCCAUGUAAGUGAACCUCUACAGCAUUCUCAGAUGUAUCAUUUUUCCCCUCAUCUAUAAUUAUUAAUGUGUUGUUAUUGAUUACUUUGAUUCCAUAAAUGAACCAAUGACCUGGGUGCAGAUUAGCUUUGCACAUGUUAAUUUGCCAUCUAAAUUCUAGCUUCAGCCUUUACACCAGCCACAUACAUAGACCCCAAAACAAAUACUGUUAUACUCCCUCCAUGCUCGAAAAGAAAGUCAUUUUGGAAAGGACACGGUCUCCAAAGCAUAACUUGACUUCUUAUUUUUAUAAAAAAAUAUUUACCACAAAGUGAUAUAUUUAUAUUUUUAUGAAAUUAUUUUCCAAGAGAAAUCUAUUCAUAUGGUUUUUGUAUUUUGAAACUCAACAACUUAAAAGUUAUUCAUGAUUAAGUUGUUGCAUUUCCCUCUAUUUGCUUAUAUAUACUAUACUCUUUAAUUACCUUGCUCUACCUGAAUUUAGACACUAUACUCUUUAAUUACCUUGCUCUACCUGAAUUUAGACAAAUGCGAAUAAAAAUAUAUUGCCAGACCGAAUCAAAGGAAAAAUUUACGCGUGCGGUGGCGCCCGCAUGCCAUAGUUAGAGAAGCCUUACACUUUAGGAGGGAGGGAAGGCUGGGGCUAGCCCCCCCCCCCCCCCCUCCUAGCUUUAGUAUCAUUAUUAUGUGUAAAUGCACUUACUCUGUUUAGAUUCGUGCGGUACAAAUAAAUAAUAUCUUCCCUGCUUUGAUGUUCCAUUACAAACAUAUAAAUUUCACAUUUACUUAUACCAGGAAAAAAAAGAGGAAAGGGCUAUUUGACAUGUAGAGAAUAUAUUAACACUUCCAGGUGUAAGCUUGCUUAUAACAUAAUAUUAUCCUUGUACUGGAUAGAUAUCUCCACAAUAUAUUGCAUACCAUCUCCAUUGCUUUUUGGUUUCGGACACAGAGAAAUACCUAGGAGGUCCCUCGCAUCUCUGCUCCUCCACGUCAUCCAUGUUCAGCAAUAGUGCUCAAAGUGAAUUGAAGGAUUUUAAACUGAAGGUGAUGCAGAUACCGAGUGAUACUCUUACCAAAAAACUGAUCUAUGGUUGCAGGCAGAGGGUUUAAAACAGCAUGUAACAAUGUUCUAGUGCUCCGUACUGUGCCGAGCUGCUCUACAAGACUACAAUGGUUGGAAGGCUGCUAGAAAGUUACUGGACUCAACAAUUGCCGGGAAGUUUUUCCAACGAAAAGCAUGUUUCCGACAAUUCAAAUCAAAAGAUGAUGCCUCCACUACUUAUCAUAAAAAAAACAGCAUCUCCAUGUUUCAGACAGAUGAUAUAAUCACCGCAUGAUUGAUAUUCUACAACCACCAGAAGCUCCAAAGAAUUUGAGAUGCUAUGUAACCUACUAUUCGCUAGAACAUUUAUAUGUUCAAUAACUCUGUACCCAGCUUACUUCUGUCUUGAUCAGACAUCAAAGUAAUACCUACCUAUGUAAUUUAUCAAUACAGAACCGAUUACAAAUAAAUGCUAAUGUCACUUGGUAGUUUAGGUUAAAA